rnacentral:rRNA from 1 species
UACGAAGGGGGCUAGCGUUGCUCGGAAUCACUGGGCGUAAAGGGUGCGUAGGCGGGUCUUUAAGUCAGGGGUGAAAUCCUGGAGCUCAACUCCAGAACUGCCUUUGAUACUGAAGAUCUUGAGUUCGGGAGAGGUGAGUGGAACUGCGAGUGUAGAGGUGAAAUUCGUAGAUAUUCGCAAGAACACCAGUGGCGAAGGCGGCUCACUGGCCCGAUACUGACGCUGAGCUGCGAAAGCUAGGGGAGCAAACAGG